rnacentral:rRNA from 1 species
GACGAACGCUGGCGGCGUGCUUAACACAUGCAAGUCGAACGGAAAGGCCCUGCUUUUGUGGGGUGCUCGAGUGGCGAACGGGUGAGUAACACGUGAGUAACCUGCCCUUGACUUUGGGAUAACUUCAGGAAACUGGGGCUAAUACCGGAUAGGAGCUCCUGCUGCAUGGUGUGGGUUGGAAAGUUUCGGCGGUUGGGGAUUGACUCGCGGUGUAUCAGCUUGUUGGUGAGGUAGUGACUUACCAAGGCUUUGACGCGUAGACGACUUGAGAGGGUGAUCGGCCACACGGGGACGGGGACACGGCCCAGAGGCAUACGGGAGGCAGCAGUAGGGAAUCUUCGGCAAUGGGCGGAAGUCUGACCGAGAAACGCCGCGUGAGGGAAGAAGGUUUUCGGAUCGUAAAGCUCUGUUGUAAGAGAAGAACGAGUGUGAGAGUGGAAAGUUCACACUGUGACGGUAUCUUACCAGAAAGGGACGGCUAACUACGUG